UAAGACAUGAGCAAGGUAGUGAAAACUAUGUGAUGAACAAUGCAUUUUUUUUAUUGACAUUGACACUCCAGUAUUUGCUUUUGUUUUCCAGGUUGCAAUGGCUGUCAGAGAGUAGCACACAAAGGCAAAAGAAAGAGUUGUGACAGGAACUGAUUAUGCAGCAACCUGCAAGAAAGAGUUGUGACAGAACUGAUUAUGCAGCAACCUACACUUGAUGCGUUUGAUUAAAUGCAUGUUUUUUUUUACAAUUUAGUUCUGAUGUGCUUGUAGCCGAGUGAUGUAACUAGGACGACCUGCACAUCAUGCUCUAUAGUGAUAUUCUAUGAACUUAUUAUAUUUAUAUUUGUGGCAAUGUUGUGGGUAUGUAACUUCAAUAAUUGUAUUAAUUAAUUAUUACGAUGGUAAUGAGAUACAGCAUGUAGGCUGACUAUAUUGAUUGUAUGUGCAUGGGCUUAAAAAAGUGAUGUGGGCUGGACUGAAAAAAAAUCCUUCCUAAAAAAAUUGCAUGGGCCA
rnacentral:lncRNA from 1 species